GAUGAACGCUGGCGGUAUGCUUAACACAUGCAAGUCGAACGGUCACUUCGGUGAUAGUGGCGGACGGGUGAGUAACGCGUGAGAAUCUGUCUUCAGGUCGGGGACAACAGUUAGAAAUGACUGCUAAUACCGGAUGUGCCUUUGGGUGAAAGAUUUAUUGCCUGAAAAAGAGCUCGCGUCAGAUUAGCUAGUAGGUGGUGUAAGAGACUACCUAGGCUCCGAUCUGUAGCUGGUCUGAGAGGACGAUCAGCCACACUGGGACUGAGACACGGUCCAGACUCCUACGGGAGGCAGCAGUGGGGAAUUUUCCGCAAUGGGCGAAAGCCUGACGGAGCAAUACCGCGUGAGGGACGAAGGCUUUUGGGUCGUAAACCUCUUUUCUCAAGGAAGAUGAUGACGGUACUUGAGGAAUAAGCAUCGGCUAACUCUGUG
rnacentral:rRNA from 1 species